UUUGUAAGCCUAUUUUUCUAGACUUUUUUCUAUUUUCUUUUAUUACUCAAUACAGAUAUGACUUUUUCUCAUUUGAAUGAGGAGAAUAUGCUUCUAAUUUUCUUUCUUUGCAUUUUUAUUGUUUGGAAAGCCUGUGAAACGACAGCUCAUACAAGCUAAUAGAAAUAUAUAAAAGCACGGAAACAAGAACAAAAAGAGAAGGGGUAUAGACCAAAACCUUCUCAAGCUAAAAAGCUAAGCAAAAAGCUGGUGGCAAAACGCCACACCCAACAAAGAGUAGAAAUGAAAAGAUAAAAAA